GUGCCAGCCGCCGCGGUAAUACGUAGGGACCAAGCGUUGUCCGGAAUCAUUGGGCGUAAAGCGCGCGUAGGUGGCCAUUUAAGUCCGCUGUGAAAGUCAGAGGCUCAACCUUUGAAAGCCGGUGGAUACUGGAUGGCUAGAGUACGGAAGAGGCGAGUGGAAUUCCUGGUGUAGCGGUGGAAUGCGCAGAUAUCAGGAGGAACACCAAUAGCGAAGGCAGCUCGCUGGGACGUUACUGACACUAAGGCGCGAAAGCGUGGGGAGCGAACAGGAUUAGAAACCCGUGUAGUCC
rnacentral:rRNA from 1 species